AUGGCGACCACAGAACCUAAUGCAAAAAACUGGUUGUUCACUUUGAUCGAGAGCUUGACGCAAGAGAGCUUUGCUUUGCUGGCGGUCACUGCUUGGGCGAUUUGGCAUGCUCGACGUAAAGCUAUUCAUGAGGCAAUAUUCCAAAGCCCCCAUCAGACACACUCCUUCAUCACAAGUUUCAUGGCAGAGCUCGGUGUGAUUAAUUCAAACCGAUGCCCCCUGCAAGGAGUGAGCCAACCGCGGCCACAAAGACAAAACCCCAAGAAACCACCCCCCGGAGCAUACAAGAUACAUGUUGAUGCAUCCGUUCGCGCGAGAAGAGGAAGAGCGGCAGGUGCAGUUUGCAGAGAUGAAGCGGGGAAUUAUAUUGGGGCUUCGGCCUUGGUCAGGGAGGGUGUCACUGAUCCGGCAUCUUUGGAGUCGAUAGCAUGUCGAGAGGCGUUGUGCCUGGCGGAGGACCUCAACAUCCACCAUUUUGUCAUCGCAUCUGAUUGCAAACAGGUUGUGGCGGAUAUUGGCAACAACAGUGGAGGAAGAUAUGGAGCAAUUAUCAGGGAGAUUCGCCUUAGAGCUAUUAAUGUCCAAUGUAAAUUUAUUUUCGAGGGUCGUGCUGUGAACUAUGAAGCACACGGUUUAGCUAAAUUUUCCCUUUCUAGAGGUCCCGGUCGUCACGUCCGGUUAGGCAUUCCGUACAACCAGAUUCGUAUCCCACUUCAUGUGGAUUUUGAUGAAUAA
rnacentral:rRNA from 1 species